UCCUAUAUGCUUCCUUUUUGAAAUCUUCAUUUCUUUUAGGUUUAAAAUUUACAUUGUCAUAUUAACUCAGAAGGUGUAUUCUUUGUUGACUAAUUAGGUGGUGCCAAAUAAUCGAGGGUGGUGGAAGGAUGAUAGAAAUUAAAGGUUCCCUGUGCACGCGGUGAUUGGUAUGUUAUUUUGGUUGAUAAAAUUAUGAAAAUCAAUUUAAUCUAAUUUUUAAUUGUCUACCUCUUGCUAAGUUUGUAGCUAGUUGGUGGAUUUGGAGUUCAGGAGAUUCGUUUCAAGUGUAUAGCGUCUAGGCUUGAUGUCUACGGUAGUCACUAAUAUGUUUCGAUUUUUGACAGUCCAUGCUAAUAAUCUCCUCUCUCUGAUAAUUUUUCUGUUGAUAUCCUUAAUGAGAUCUUGUUAUCUCGAUUUUUUUUUAAAAUAUUGAUUACAUUAUAUCUAUUUUACGUUUAAGGCAUAUUCCUUGGCCGAUCUUAUGCAGUUGGUGCUCAUUGCUUCAUGUAUUUACUUGAAGGUAUCUACUUAGACGCUGGAAAGAAAAAAGUAAAGUAAGAGUAAUGUGCAAUUUUAGACAGCAAACCAAUUGGAUACUUGCAGGCCCAGAAAUGAAUGACUACAUUUCUUAAUGAUGCGAAAUUUAUCUGUCUUCCUAGAUUUGCUAAUCCCUUUCUUCUGCUCUUGAAUGGACUAUGAUAGUUGUCAUAUUAUCAUUUGAUUCUUGUUCCCUUUGCAUUUUCUUUUUGAUUCUUGCUGCAGCCAAAUCAUUGGAAGAAUAAUAAGAUGCUUAUGUUGCUGCAAACUGAACUUCUUAUUGAAUUGCUGGAGUUCAAAUAUGAAAGGCUUUCAAAAUUUUAAUCAAAUCUCUCAUGUUUGGAGCUGAUAUGGAUUCUGUAUACUUGGUUUGACUCCAAUAGUUCUCAUAUAAUCUCGGAUAAUUUUUUUGCCACUCUGCUGUCGUGGGAUCAAAUAAACAUAAAUGGUGCUUAUGUUGGAGCGGACGAAACCUAUUGAGGUACAGGGGUUGAUGUUAGAAGGAAGGCAUUCUAAGUUUUAGGGAAUUAUUGGGUCCUUAUUUUUUCUCCUAUAUGUUUUUUUUUUAAUUAUUCAUUUCUUUUAGGUCUAAAAUUUACAUUGUUAUAUUAACUCAAAAGAUGUAUUCUUUGUUGAAUAAUUAGAUGGUGCCAAAUGAUUGACGCCGAUAGAAGGAUGGUAGAAAAUAAAGGUUCCCUGUGCACGCUGUGGUUGGUAUGUUAUUAAUGGUUAUUGAAAUUAUAAAAAUCUAUUAAUCUAAUUUAUACUUAUCUACCUCUUGCUAAGUUUGUAGCUAAUGGGAGGAUUUGAAGUUCAAGAGACUUGGUUUUGAGUGUAUAGCCUCUAGACUCGAUGUCUAUGGUUGUCACUAAUAUGUUUCAAUUUUUUACGGUUCAUGUUCAUCAUCUUUCUCUCUCUCUCUCUCUCUCUUGCUUUGAGAAUUGUUUUGUUGGUAUCCUUAAUUAGAUCUCGUUACCUUUAUUUUUUUGGAGCACUAAUUAUAUUAUAUGUAGUUGAUGUUUAAGGCAUAUUCAUUUUCAAAUCUUAUGCUGUUGGUUCUCUAUCUUCACUCUUUCUUAGUCGCAGUGACCUUAAGUCUCACCUCUUUAUGGAUCGAUAGACAAUGUCGCUUAUGAUAGCAAAUUUGGGGUUAUCUUGGGCAUUUAUUCUUCUAAUAAAAAAAUACACUCAUGAGGGACCUUAAGCCUCACUUUCUUAUGGAUCGACAGACAAUUUUGCUUAUGAUAAUAGAUCUGGGGUUAGCUUAGGCAUUUAAUCUUCCAAUAAAGAAAUACACUCAUGAAGUAAAAUUUGUUUCUUUGUUAACUGUCUUACUGUAUGUAAAAUAUAGUUAUCUUCAAAUGUUGGUGAACUCCGGGUGCCUUUGUAUGUUUACAGAUUUUAGCUCUUUGGUACAAAGCUCCCAAAAUUCUUUUAGGGGCUAUCCAUUACUUAAUUAUAGUAGAUGUGUGGUCUGUUAAUUGUA